AUUCGCCGCUGCCACGCACCCACCAUUGCGCGCAGAGAGAGCAACCUGCGAGAGUCGGAUUGGGGAUGGGGGAUAACGCACCCGCCGGGGCUGGUCUCAGGAUCUGGCAAUGGAAGUGAACAAGGAUGGAAAGACUCAGAAAUCUGACGAUUGCUUUGGCUUUGACACCAGACAUGGAGAUGCAGAUUUUGGAGUUUGCUCAGGUUAAUUUUCAUCUUGUUUAAUCCAGUGUUUUCUUACCAUGACAUUUUGGAAUGAUAAUGUAUAUCCUGCAUGAUAUUGGGGGUAUGUUGUCUUCUUUAUGUUUUUGAUUUUUAAGGGAUUACAGUUUAGAGAUUACCUAAUCUCAGAAGAAACAUUGAACUUUGAACUCCUAACAUUGGAGAAACUCUUAUAGACUAUGGGAACUGUAAAGUUGGAAUAAUGUAUUUUGCAUUGUGCUGUGCCUAGUUAUGUCCUCUCUAGAGUCAUGUAUUUGAACUGUCCUAUUGUAACCAGGGAGUAGAAUGUGGUUUGAAUAUAUUUGGCAAAUUGGAAGUGGUACUAUCAUGAGAUGUGGCCUUGUUUGAGGAAAUGUGUCACUGUGGGCAUGGGCUUUGAGACACUCUCUCUAGCCAGGUAGGAACCAGUCAUCUCCUGCUUGCCUUUGAAAUAAGAUAUCACAAUUUCAACUCCUCCAGGACCAUGAUUUCUGCUUUGAUGAUAAUGGAUUGAACCCCUGAACCUGUAAAGCAAGCCCCAACUAAAUGCUGUCCUUUAAAAUAUUCACCUAGGUCAUAGUGUCUCUUCACAGUAAUGAAAAUCCUAACUAAGACAAUGGUGUAGUAAGUGCUGCUUUCACAAAGAUUAGUUCUCAAAAUGGAGGAACAUGUCCCAUUGGAGGCCUUCAGAGGUUUGUAGUUGAAGACAUUGGAACUACUCAUGCGUUUGUUGAGCAGAAACGGAUUGGAAAAAAAAAAACAUGACACAUACUGCUAUCCCUGGAAUUUCAAAACUCUCUCACACAUGUGACUUCAUAUGAUUGAAGCUAAGAUGGAUAUUGGCAUUUCACUAACUUCAGUACUAAGUAUAGGGUCUGAAACAGACCUGAAGAAGACCCUUUUAAUAUCUUGUUUUACAGGGAACAUGUACAAAAUAUUAAAAAGUACCCAAGAGUCAAGUAUGGAGAAAGUCUGGUAACAAGAGAUCCAGGAGACAUGGGCUAAAUGUUUCUUUAACUCUUUAUCUCUUCAUAAAAACAGUUCACUAUGAGCUGUUGGCUCUUGGAGAAGACUGGUGAGGAGUGUCAGCAAAACUGACUCUAUUGGAUGCUUUACCAUAGAACAUGGGGCCUUCAGUUCAAUAAAUGAUUCAUGCCAUUGAUGUAGUUCUCUGUGUUUUCCUUUACACAAAAGAUAUAUUAAUAAAAUACAUGAUUUAGGCAUGGAAUAGUAGUUCAGGAUGGAAAAGUUCUUGCUGUGUCAGCAAAAGGAUCUGAUUUAAUCCCUAGCAACAAUAUAAAAAGCCAAGCAUGAGAGUUGGGGCACAGACAAAAGAGGAUCACUGGCCUUGCUAACUCCCAGCUUAGCUCCAAGUUCAAUGAGUGACAUUGUCUCAAGGAAAUAAGGUGGCAAGUAACACAGCUGGAUGCAUGAUGUCAACAUCUGUGUACCAUGUAAACCUGGGUCCAAAGGCAUAGUAUAUGCAGAUUCUGAAAAAAGGCAAAAUUGGAAAUUUGUUAUUUCUACAAAACUAUCACUUGAGGCACUCUGCGGAAAAAAAUUCAUCAUGGAAAAUAGUUGUUAAUGAAUAAAAUGAGUCUCUGGGCUCAUAUUUCCAAUUACAGCAGUAGAAUGGUUGAGGGGACAAAGCUCCAGAAAGAGACAUUUGGGAGCACUCCCCAAUCAAAUAGGAGCCUGAGAAACAAGGCUACAGAUCUGCUCCAGACAGCCAUUUAUGCCUAUUAACUCAGACUAUGAAUAUUAAUAUAUUCUGGAAGAGAAAGCCAGGGACCCACUCUUUUAUCUUGCUGUGCAGAAACUGAAUAUUGAAUGACCUUGAAUAAAUGGAGUGUUAUUGAUGCCAUUUUUGUCUCAAAAGAAGGAAAACCAGGGAGCCAUCCCUAAUCUCUCUUUUUUGUUUGGUUUGAGUUUUAGUCUUAAAGAAACCUAAGCAAAAACUCAAAGUACCAGGCUAUAAAGACAAGUGUAAUUUUAGAUAGUGUGGCCUGUGAAGAGCUCAUAUUUUCUCUAUCUGUUAGCAAGACUAGACUCUCUGAACUCGACAAAGAAGGAGCAUAUUCCCUUUCACUACCAAUUGAAGAUGAUUUAAGAAUGAGAAGACCCCACCCGAAGGUUUGUGCUCUCUAAGGAAAAUUAGGCACAUAAUGAGAAAAGACUGCCAGGAUUCAUUAGUGGUGCAGUUCCACAUUUUAUUAAGUGCUGUGAGCCUGGUUUAUUUCAUGAAAAGGUCUGAGUGCAUGAAGGACAAGAUAUUAAAGACAAUAAAGAAAAGCAGUUUCACUACAUAAAGGUGCUGUGUGUCUAAAGCAUACAAACUCCGCAGCAAUCACAAUCAUGAGGUUAGAAAAUGGCUAACACCAUCUUUAGUAUUUGUUGUUUUAUAUUUUGUUUUAAUGAUUUUUUUCUUCAUUUGGAGAUGUUUUAAAGCAUCUUAUUAUUAAUAAGCUUAUUCUUUGACAAUUAUUUACAUAAACAUAAUGCUCUUUGAUUACCCUCUCUCUUCCUGUGAGACUAAAACAGGAACAAUAUACAUUACAAGUUAAUGAGAAAACAAAACAAUAAAAAUAUACCUUGCAGGUUGAGGAUUUUUUUUGUAGUGAAGAUUAAGUUCCAGUUUUUACAAUGUUAAAUCUGUGAAAUACUUACAGAAUAAGUUUGUUUGUCCUGUAUUAAGUCUUUGCAAGUUAAGAUUUCUAUUUGUAAUUAAGAAUACAUUUAUUUCUAUUCUG
rnacentral:lncRNA from 1 species